GCCAGAUCCAUAUCACCUUGUAGCUCUCGCCUGGUUUCCCACUGAAGCUAAGCAGAGUUGAGCCUGCCCAGUACCUGGAUGGGAGACCUCCUGGGGAAAACUGAGGUUGCUGCUGGAA
rnacentral:rRNA from 1 species